CCAACUCCGGAUAAGGUGAUGCGGGUCACAUGGGUCUGGGGAUCGAGGUCACGUGCUCCGAGACCUGGAUGUGGAAGCUGGGCACAAGCAAGGGCUCCACGAGGAGAUGCCACAGCUAUGGACUAAGGCUGCCUGCCAAUGAAGCUCAAAAAGAACACGCUGAAUGAAUGAAAGGAAGUGCAAGUUUUAUUGGCAUACCACAAGCAAUACAGGUGCUCAGUACAUACUAGUUGUUUACUUUGAAACAGAAUCAGGAAGGCCCUGGCAGUCAUGAUAAUAGCUCUGUUCCACCCACCUCUCCACCAAUCAACCUUCACACUGGGGGAUGUUCUGCUGAUAAACCACACAUGAGAAAGAACUAAAAACAGCCGAAAGACCAUGUGUUUGGAAGUUUUAUGUAAUAUUACUACAAACACAGAGUUACACAAGAUGAUCCACAUCCACAUAAAUCACUGAUUUUAUUAAAAGCAGAAAAACUAAAUAAAUUGCUGAUUGAUGUAUCAGUA